GAACAUAACCUAAAAGUUAUGAAGUUGCAAUAAUUAUUAUGCAAUGACUUAUUGAAUUUAAAUGAAUAACAGUUUACAAUGAAGCUACUAAAUUAUCAUUUAAUAUAAAAUUAAGAGUGUUAGUGAAUUUCUAAAAAAGUUUCUAUUACAUACCUCGAAUAGCGAUACUAACAAUACGCAACAUUCUUCUUUUCCUCUAGUUCCGUCGGUAACCAGCUGUUUUGUGCCGUCGUUCCCUUUUUCCUUUGGCUGCCUGACCGGCCACCCGAAAGAUGUUCCGAAUUGGAUUAAAAUUUCCGUGCAACGGUCUAAAUAGGGUACGUAAAGUCAAAAAGAAUGGAUCCUCCAGACUGUAUUUGACAACUAGGUAUUAUGAGACACGUGCACGAAUUAAAUACGACCAGGAAUGUAGGUUUUCCAAGGAUGUCAAACUUAUAUCUCGAAUACCGAUACAUAAGUAUUCAACUGAUACACCAAAAAGGGAGAAAAGCAGAGGAACCACAAAAACAGUAUUAACUUUGACUGCUGUGGCAAUAGGAGCAUCAGGUGUAUUGCUUUAUGCAAAACAUGAUCCAAAAUUUCGUGCAAAUCUUGAAGGUUGGAUACCUGGCACAGACAAGACUAUUCAGAUCAUCUUUCAGGAGGAAUCAUCCUACUUUGAAUUCAUACGUACAUUCUUUGAAACAUUAAAGCAAACAAUUAUAAGUUCCCUUUUUGGAGGAGAUUCAAAAAAAGCAGGUCAGAAAAGAAUAGAUUGUACACAAGUUGAAGAUUAUAUACCACCAAAACCAACUUUUGUACCACUCAUUGAUAAGAAGGAACCACCUAUUAAUGAACCUUAUGCUGAAAUAAGAUUAAGUAAAGAAAAAGGAGAGGAAAUUGAAAUUGUUGCCGAAAAACCUACGCCGCCUCCUAAGGAUGUACCUGAGGAAUUAAUGCCAGCAAAUCUGGUGGAAUUAGAAACAUCAUGUGGUGAAGCUGCAUCUAAAGCUAUCGCAGCUUAUCAAAAAGCAGUAUGUGUUAUUCAAGAUUACAAUAAAGAUGUGAUGAGAGUUGUAGAAAGUCUUCAUGCCACUGUUGGUAGCGCCAUUUGGAACAGACUAAAAGAUUCAACUGAGAAGAAGAAAGAGGCCGUUAAAGAAGCAGAAGACCUUGCCAAUGAAGCAAUUGAAUCACUUAAUAAAAUAUAUAAUUUAAUCAAAGAUCCUAAAUUUGACGCGCCAUCGCAUAUGAAAACAGCUGCUCGAAGAAACAUUAAGAAAAUCAUGGAUGAUGUGGACGAAGCAAAGAAAAAAUAUCAAACGGAAAUAGAAUGUGGGAAUAUGGCAGAGCGUUAUUGGAAACAAGUCAAAAUGGCUCGUGAAAAUCUUAACGAAGAACUUCAGAUACUAUUUCCUAAUAUCAAUAUUCAUGAAAAAAAAAUUACUCUUGAUGAAAAUACCUUUGAUUUGUUUGUUUUGCAUAUGUAUAAUAAAGUAAGCAACUUGCAGAGGGAAUUAGAAAAAACAAGGACGAUCAACGAAAGUAGAAUCAGAGCAGCAUUAAAGGCAACAGGCGAAACAAUGACUGAAGAGAGAUUGCAUACUUUAGUGUGUCUUGAGUUGGACAAGGAGAAACAGAUCUAUGAGAGUGAGUUCAGUCAAAAGUUGCUGGAGGAGCAGAAAAAGUUCGACGACGAACUGCGGCGACAAUUGAAAUUGCAAGAACAGGUGCAUGCCGAUCAUCUUCAGGAAACGAUUACGUUGAAGGAAGAAGAAGCGGAGAGAAAUCUUCAACGUGCCCUCAACGAGCAAUCCGAGCAGGACAGUAUAAAACACAAGGAACAACUUGCAGUUGUCAUUGGAAGGCUACGUGGGGUUGAAGCUGCGUUUAAGACUCGCAUGGAGGAAGAAAAGGAUGCAACGAACGCUCAGAUUCUUUGGUCAGCUUGCACAGCCUUGGCGCGUGCUAUUAAAUCAGGGCCACCAGGCGCACCCAUAGAGAAAAUCGUGAGGCCCUUGGAAUCGGAGAUCAAGGCCGUCUGCAAGGCAGCACCGAAAGAAGAUCCUCUGGUGAUGGCUGCUAUUAAAGGCAUUCCUGUGGAAGCUGCGAAGAGGGGAGUAUUCCCGGAGGACAUUCUUCGUGAAAGGUUCCUCAAGGUGGAACAAGUGGCCAGACGAUUGGCCAUGGUGCCCGAGGAGGGCGCAGCACUGCCUGUUUAUUUGCUAAGUUAUCUUCAGAGCUAUUUGAUGUUCAAGGAUGUCUGUCCCAUCUCUCGUUCAGAACUCGAGGACAAACCUUUCGAUGUGGAGGAUCUUAAUACAUUCGAUAUACUCAAUCGAGCCAGGUAUUGGUUGGAUCGUGGCGACUUCAAAAUGACCCUUCGCUAUAUGAAUCUUCUGAAGGGGGCGCCAAGAUCGGUCGCCAAGGAUUGGAUGAACGAAACUAGAAUCCUCCUCGAGACCCAACAAGUUGUGGAAACGCUGUUGGCGUAUGCUGGUGCUAUGGGCCUAAUGUUCCUCGGCGCUGGAGAUUCGAAGGUCAGUCGAAACGAUUACAACAACAACAACAACAACAACAACAACAACAACAACAAAAACAAAACAAAGAAUUGAACGACAAGAAUAUCAAAAGACACUACCUAGUAAACAAAUUUUUGUAUAGUUCACAUUAUAGUAUCCCUUUAAAAAAAAAAAAACUCGUUCUCUCGAUAAUAUUUUGAAAAGAAAAAAAAAAGGAAAAAAAAGAAAUGGAGAAAUUUCAAACUGUCAAGGUGAGGACCCAAAAAAUGUAUUUUUGAUUGUUUAUAAUAAUUGGAAAGUAAUAUUAAAUAUACUGGAUUGUUCAACAGAA
rnacentral:misc_RNA from 1 species